rnacentral:rRNA from 1 species
AGCAAUCCGUCACCUGAGGAUGGGCCUGCGUCUGAUUAGGUAGUUGGUGAGGUAACGGCCCACCAAGCCGACGAUCAGUAGCCGGUCUGAGAGGAUGAACGGCCACAUUGGGACUGAGACACGGCCCAGACUCCUACGGGAGGCAGCAGUGGGGAAUCUUCCGCAAUGGGCGAAAGCCUGACGGAGCAACGCCGCGUGAGUGAAGAAGGUCUUCGGAUCGUAAAGCUCUGUUGUCGGGGACGAAGGGGCAGAUCAGGAAAUGGGUCUGCUUAGACGGUACCUGACGAGGAAGCCACGGCUAACUACGUGCC